rnacentral:rRNA from 1 species
AAACCCGAAAGGUCGAAGGGAGAAAUUCAUUCGCGUUUCGACGUAGGCGUUGGACGGGGUCGAGAGAGAGAGCGAGAUAACGAUGGAACGCGUUCUUCGGAACGAGUUUCGCGUUUCUCACCCCCUACUCGUUCUUCGAACCGGCGACGAACGCGUGCACUUUUCUCCUGGUAGGACGUCGCGAUCCGUCGGGUGUCGGUCUACGACUUGCGGUGGAGCCCGUCCGUCGUCCUAACGUGACGGUACGGAUGGACCCGCAACGCUCUGGCCGACUCGCUCGACGGUAUACUAAACGGUCGGAGGCCGCUCGUUACAGGAGCGUUCGACUCGUCGCAAGCGCGCCACGUGCGUCGGCACGCGGACCUAGUGCCGCGUCCGACCUCUGGUGACUGUUGGCGACGAAGUUCUCGAACAGACCUUCUUUUUUUUUGGAAACAAAAAAAAUGACCGAUCGGCGACGCUAUAGCUUUGGGUACUUUCAGGACCCGUCUUGAAACACGGACCAAGGAGUCUAGCAUGUACGCGAGUCAUUGGGAAUCACUAAACCUAAAGGCGUAAUGAAAGUGAAGGUCUUCCUCGCGAAGACCGAGGGAAGACGGACGGUUAAUUUUUAUAAACCACCCUCAAAAAGUGGGACCGUCCUGCAUUCCCGGGGCGUCUCGUUCACAUUGCGUGAAGAGGCGCACCAAGAGCGUACACGCUGGGACCCGAAAGAUGGUGAACUAUGCCUGGUCAGGACGAAGUCAGGGGAAACCCUGAUGGAGGUCCGUA